CUCCUGGAAUGGGCACUGGUCCUCUUCAUCAUCUCAGGGAUAGAUUUUAAAAUAGAGCAUGCUUAAUGUACUUCACAUGUCUGCAAGGGGAACAGCAGCAAAUACCACAGUCCCGUGACAGCAAAGCUCCCUUUGGAUGACAUAGAUUUAUUACUUAGUAGUAUAUCAUGUACUGGCUGUCCCACAUUUUGAAAUUUAAUGGACUCGUGGUGAUCAGAAUAAAAGAAGCCUUCGAUGUGAGGCCCAGGCAUUAAGUACCAUGUGUGUGAUUCACGAGCCUUGGCAUCUGAACAAUUUUUUGGAAGGAUCCAUCAGGACAACACGUCGGGGGUGUACUAGUGAAGUGAUUUUCAAAAUGUGCUACUCAGACCUGUAGCAUCAGCAUUACCGGAUAAUUUGUUAGAAAUUCCAACUGUUAGGCCCCACUUUAGACCAACUGAAUGUGAAACUCUGGGAGUACAUGGGGCCCAGCAAUUUGUGUUUUUACAAGACUUACCAGGUGAUUCUGAGAACCACUGUGCUAGUGAAUUGUUCCUGUCUGUGGCCACGUAGAAUAAGAAAACCAUAGGGUUGGAAAAUGGGGAAAUUGAUGAGUGUUCGCUUAUGAGGAAAUGAAGAAUAGAUAGAAAAGAAUUAGUUAACUUUUGGAAUUCAAAAAAGAAGCAGUUUUGUAAAAGCCAGGAAUUUGAUUUGAAGGACUAAUUGCUUGCAGAAUCUUUGCUUUCUCAGAGAGGGGCACUCCAGAUCACUAGGUUACCGUGAAAUAUAUUGGUAUGGCUCUAAAAUCCUAGAAUAAUCUCUCUAGUGAGAAAAGGCAUACCUUUCCAUAUUAGGACAAAACUUCAAAUCAGGUUUGUAAAAUCCUAUAAGAUUAUUGUAUCCCAUUGCCAUGGCCAACUUGUUUGUCUCUGGAGAUCCCAGUUUCUACAUCUGAAAACCAUAUGCAUUCCUGCUCACCAGGAAUUAUCUCGCUGAAUGAAGCAAGAGAUUCAGGAUGUGUAAGAGAACUUGUGAAGCAUUUGGAUUACCAAGAAAUGUGAAGUAUAAAGAUCAAGAAUGAUUAAUACAAACACUGAUGGUAAAGAGGUGUUUCGAAGUCGAUACAAAAUAUGAGUUGCUUAUUUCAGUCUCUCUUUGGUAUAUCUGCCUUUUUAGUGCUGACUCUAUCAUGUAUUCACUAUAUGAUUUUCAGUGAAUCACAUUUUUUAAAGCUUUUAAUCUGUUUCUUCAAAAAAUAUAUUUUUAAAUAAUAUUUACUCACAGGAUUGUUGUGAGAAUAAAAUUGAUUCGAUUGAUAUUUCAAAAAAGGAAUAUAUUUUUAAAAAAUAAAGCAAUACCAUUUUUGGAUAUGCUA
rnacentral:antisense_RNA from 1 species